GGCAAGGUGGCCGAGCGGUCUGAGGCGCCAGCUUCAGGUUCUCCUGAAUUAUUAUCCUCGGUGUAUCUGCUGGUCUCGCAAGAGGCGUGGGUUCGAAUCCCACCCUUGUCA